UUUGGGCAAGUCAUCAGAAGAAUAGGAGCUUUGUCCAUGUGUCUGACUGGAGUAUGCAAUGGGCAGAAUAUUAAUGGGUAGAUUAUUGACCUCAUCUGAUAUUCCAAAUGGCCUUGUUCUCUUCAAUACAUGUUCAGAAUCUGCUGUUUGAUAAUCGAUAGAUGGAUUAUUUGUAGGAGUCCUAGGACGCUUUAAUAUUGCUGCAUUGUUAGGAGCAGAUAAACC
rnacentral:misc_RNA from 1 species